rnacentral:rRNA from 1 species
UAGGGAAUCUUCGGCAAUGGACGAAAGUCUGACCGAGCAACGCCGCGUGAGUGAAGAAGGUUUUCGGAUCGUAAAACUCUGUUGUUAGAGAAGAACAAGGACGUUAGUAACUGAACGUCCCCUGACGGUAUCUAACCAGAAAGCCACGGCUAACUACGUGCCAGCAGCCGCGGUAAUACGUAGGUGGCAAGCGUUGGCCGGAUUUAUUGGGCGUAAAGCGAGCGCAGGCGGUUUCUUAAGUCUGAUGUGAAAGCCCCCGGCUCAACCGGGGAGGGUCAUUGGAAACUGGGAGACUUGAGUGCAGAAGAGGAGGGUGGAAUUCCAUGUGUAGCGGUGAAAUGCGUAGAUAUAUGGAGGAACACGAGUGGCGAAGGCGGCUCUCUGGUCUGUAACUGACGAUGAGGCUCGAAAGCGUGGGGAGCGAACAGG